rnacentral:rRNA from 1 species
CACGGGGGGAGCAAGCGUUGUUCGGAAUCACGGGGCGUAAAGGGCGUGUAGGCGGUCAAGUAAGUGGAAUGUGAAACGCCUCGGCUUACCCGAGGACCUGCAUCCCAAACUGCUUGGCUUGAGUAUGGGAGAGGAUGAGGGAAUUCCUGGUGUAGCGGUGAAAUGCGUAGAUAUCAAGUGGAACACCAGUGGCGAAGGCGAGUCUCUGGACAUUUCCUGACGCUGAGGCACGAAAGCCAGGGGAGCAAACGGG